rnacentral:rRNA from 1 species
GACGAACGCUGGCGGCGUGCUUAACACAUGCAAGUCGAACGGAAAGUCCCUGCUUUUGUGGGGUGCUCGAGUGGCGAACGGGUGAGUAACACGUGAGUAACCUGCCCUUGACUUUGGGAUAACUUCAUGAAACUGGGGCUAAUACCGGCUAGGAGCUCCUGCUGCAGGGUGGGGGUUGGAUAGUUUCGGCGGUUGGGGAUGGACUCGCGGCUUAUCAGCUUGUUGGUGGGGUAGUGGCUUACCAAGGCUUUGACGGGUAGCCGGCCUGAGAGGGUGACCGGACACAUUGGGACUGAGAUAAGGCACAGACUCGUACGGGAGGCAGCGGUGGGGAAUAGUGUACAAGGGGCGGAAGCCUAAUGCAGCAACGCCGCGUGCGGGAUGACGGCCUUGGGGUUGUAAACCGCUUUCGCCUGUGACGAAGCGUGAGUGACGGUAAUGGGUAAAGAAGCACCGGCUAACUACGUG